GUGUGUGUGUGUGUGUGUGUGUGUGUGUGUGUGUGUGUUUGUGUAGGAGACAUAGGUUUGUUGUUAAUAUAUAGCAUUUGUCAUUGUGUGUAACUCAUUGUGUCUGCUUAUUUACCUUGAUGAUUUAAAUUUUAGGGGCCUCUGGUUGUUUACUGGCUACUUGCCAUAUGGAGAAAAGUUAUUUCUUUGCUGUUAGUUGUCUUUUACAUUACAUUUAAUGACACCGUUUCAUAAUUGUCUUUUACCUUCCAUGAUAAAACUAUGAA